rnacentral:rRNA from 1 species
UGAUUACUGCUCAGUAACACGUGGAUAACUUGUCCUGUGGACCGGGAUAACCCCUGGGAAACUGGGGCUAAUACCGGAUAGAGCAGCGAUCGCUGGAAUGCACGCUGCUCCAAAGCUCCGGCACCACAGGGUAGGUCUGCGGCCGAUUAGGUCGUUGUUGAUGUAACGGAUCAACAAGCCUCCGAUCGGUAUGGGUUGUGAGAGCAAUAGCCCAGAGAUGGGUUCUGAGAUAAGAACCCAGGUCCUACGGGACGCAUCAGGCGCGAAAACUUUACACUGUGCGCCAGCACGAUAAGGGAACUCUGAGUGCCUCCUCAGGAGGCUGUUCAGGUGUCUAAAACGCACCUGAAGGAAGGGCUGGGUAAGACUGGUGCCAGCCGCCGCGGUAACACCAGCAGCCCAAGUGGUAGCCACUCUUACUGGGUCUAAAGCGUCCGUAGCCGGCCAGGUAAGUUCCUUGGGAAAUUUGAUCGCUCAACGAUUAAGCCUCCAGGGAAUACUGUCUGGCUUGGGACCGGGAGAGGUCAGAGGUACCUCAAGGGUAGGGGUGAAAUCCGUUAAUCCUUGGGGGACCGCCGGUAGCGAAGGCGUCUGACUGGACCGGAUCCGACGGUGAGGGGCGAAGGCUAGGGGAGCGAACCGGAUUAGAUACCCGGGUAGUCCUAGCUGUAAACGAUGCGGGCUAGGUGUUGGCAUUACUGCGAGUGAUGCCAGUGCCGAAGGGAAGCCGUUAAGCUCGCCAUCUGGGGAGUACGGUCGCAAGGCUGAAACUUAAAGGAAUUGGCGGGGGAGCACA